CAGGAAAGACAUGGAGGGGCUGGAGCGUGUCCAGGGAAGGGCAACGGAGCUGGGGAAGGGUCUGGAGCACAAGUGCUGUGAGGAGCAGCUGAGGGAGCUGGGGGUGUUCAGCCUGGAGAAAAGGAGGCUCAGGGGGACCUCAUCACUCUCUGCAGCUGCCUGACAGCAGGGUGCAGCCAGGUGGGGUCAGGCUCUUCUCCCAGGGCAGAAUGAGAGAGCAUCUGGGUCAAUCCACAUCAGCAUCCUUACAGGACCAGACCAAAGAUUGAACUAAGCCACUAAAUCAGCAUGACCAAAUACCUCUCUGGAGUGCCUCUGUGCAGCUGUACUGCUCCACAGGGAGCAAAAAAGGAGGAUUUACAGCACUGCAUCUAACUGCAGGGUUAAAUGUCAUGGUGAUCACAGCAACAUGGUGCGAUGGCUGUGUUGGAAGAGCAAACUAGGAAGACAGGGAGGAGGAGUGUAAGAAUAUGAUGCACAAACCAGAACAAGUCCAACAAAGGGACAUGUAGUUGAUUAAGCACUUGAAGAAUCUUCCUUAUGAGGAAAGGCUUAGAGAGUUAAAACUCUUUACCCUGGAGAAGACUCGGGGUCCUAAUCAGUGUUUGUACUUCAUGGGAGGGAAUAAAGAAGACAGAGCCAGAGUCUUCUCAGUGGUAUCCAGUGAGAGGACAAGAGGCAGUGGCACAAGUGGAAAAGUGGGGAAUUCUGUUUAAACACAAGAAAAAGCUUUCUAGUUGUAAAAGGUGGUCAAACAUUGGAAAAGGUUACCCAGAGACUUUAGAGUCACCUUUCUUGAAGAUAUUCAAAACCCACCUGAGAACAACCUGUUCACUCUGCUUGGAUAUGUUGGAGUAAAUUAUCUCCACAAGUUCCUUCUAGCCUUUCUGGAUCUGGGACUCUAUCAAGUAGUGGUAAAUAGUGGUGCAUGGAGAAACAUUAGAGGUAUACAUUGCUCCUUUUCCUGGUUUGUCCUUUUAGCUUCUGCAAUCAGUAGAUCAAGUAUUAGUCAUGUUUAAUAGUCAUUGAUAGAUCCUCUCUGCAUAGAUUUGUUUAAUUAUUUUAAAUCUAUUUAUGCAUAUGAUGUCUCUGGCAUGUUCUGAUAAUGAAUGCCACAAUUUGAUUAUGCAAAACAUAAUUAAUGCAGCCAGAACUAUAAAAUCAGGCCAGUGAAUCCCCCAAAGCACAAAGUUCUUAGCCAUUGCUGUAGGUAGGAAGGUUGCAUGGGAAUCAGAGGGAGGGUGUGACUCUGUACAAACUAAACACAUCCCUAUAAUAUUUGGUGCCUUUUAUUUACAGUUGCAGAUCAUUGAGAAAAUCUAGUCUGCUGUUGUGUUUUCUGCACUUUGAUCUCUCUGCUCCUUCUUCCCCUUCACUGUCUUUGAAAGGCUUCUUUCUCAUUUGUGUUCCUUGCAGCUGCUAAUGGAGCCAUUUUCACUCAGUGCCCACCCUGUCUGAGCCACUAACAUGACUGCUUCUUGAUGAGGGAGUUUUGACCCCAGAUGACUUUCAUGUACUUCAAAGAAGAUAGUCCAGCAAAGGAGGAGAUAUGAUUGUGGGAAAAUUAUGUUAGAUGAACUUGCCUCUCUGCAACCAUGAUAAAGGCUUAUAUCUAAAAUAAGUUAAUAGGUGAAUUUCUGAAGAUCUUUAUAUACACUUAUCUAUGACUAUUUAAAUGUAUUAUGCCAUCUCACACAUUUGAAAGCCUUUCUGUAAAGCCAUGUGAAUUUAUAGAAUACAGUGCAAAGUCUGGUAUUAGAGUAUGUUUAUGCUUGGACAACAUCAUCUAAUUCAUGUAUUGUGUUAAAGUCUUAGAAAACUACUCUUAAAGCUUUCCUCAAGCAAUACAAGAUGAAUAACUAAUGAAUUUUCAAUAAUGUAAAAAAUAAACUCUUCUUUUAAAAAU